rnacentral:misc_RNA from 1 species
UCGGUGUGUACAAGACCCGGGAACGUAUUCACCGCGACAUUCUGAUUCGCGAUUACUAGUAACUCCAGCUUCAUGUAGGCGAGUUUCAGCCUACAAUCCGAACUGAGACUGGUUUUUAAGUUUGGCUCCACCUCGCGGUAUUGCAUCUCUCUGUACCAGCCAUUGUAGCACGUGUGUAGCCCUACACAUAAGGGGCAUGAUGAUUUGACGUCAUCCCCACCUUCCUCCUGGUUAACCCAGGCAGUCUCGCUAGAGUCCUCAACUUAAUGGUAGUAACUAACGACAAGGGUUGCGCUCGUUGCGGGACUUAACCCAACAUCUCACGACACGAGCUGACGACAACCAUGCACCACCUGUCACCUUGUCCCCGAAGGGAUUUCCUCGAUUAGGAGUAAUGCAAGGGAUGUCAAGUGUAGGUAAGGUUCUUCGCGUUA